GCAGCCUUUCAUGUCUAAAAAAAAGCCAAGGCUAGAAAAAUAAAAUAAAAUAAAAAGGCAGCCUUUCUUGAAGAAAAAAAGCCAAGGCUCGAAAAAAAAUAUUGAGCGAAAAAUAGAAAUGAUAAAAGAAUGCUCAAAAGAAUAAGUUGACAGAUGGUUGGAAAAUCUCAUGUUUGGGGUGUUGAGCUGUAAGAAAUUUGUACGCAGUGAGUGAGAUGUGAAAGGUGUUGUGAUGGAUGUGCUAGUAUUUUAAGAACGGUGGUAAGCUACUUAACCAAAUAUUAUCCCACCUUUACCAAAAGCCCCAUUACAUCCCAAUGAAUAAGACCUUUUGAUUUGUGCAUCAUAUUGACUUUUGAGCGAUGAAUUUUGCUUGAUUUUGGGAGAAAGAUCUGGGAGAAAGAUCUUAUGUGCUUAAAAUAAAGAAUAGCCGGAAGAACUUCUCUUUAUGAGUUAGUGACGAUGGUUUGAGACUCCCAAGACACAACUCGAACUUAGAUUGAAGCAUGGGAUGUCUAGUUCUUAGGGAAUUAGUUCGUGUACAAUCUUGUUCUAAAGUUUUACCCGCGAGUGAAUUCGGUGUCGGCCUAUUUCCCUACUGACUUGAAGCAGAGGAUUAUCUAAUAUCUUGUGAGUGUGAUUUAUUGUGUAACUUGCUCGAGGGCUAUCAAGACUUAAGUUUUGGGGGUGUUUGAUGUGAGUGGGUAAUUUUCUAACUUGUUCCUCGGACAGUAUACAAUGGAAUGGAGGGUAGCGUAAUACUGCUCCAAGCUAAUUUUGGACACUUUGAUAUUAAGUGUCUCUCAGUUCAUACUAAAGCCAUCAAUGAAGAACUACUGCAAAAUCUUUCUGAUGCUUUGUCUAAAUCGGUCUUGCUUUGUCUAAAUCUGAAGAUCACGAUACCAAGAUGUGUGGAAAGAAUUUUUGUUUGAGUCAGAUUAAAGAGCUGUGUGCCAAUCCUAUUGCAUUUGAGGCGAUUGAGAUAAUUCAACAUAUGCUCGUGUUACUCUUAGUUGGUCUGAAGGCUGAAGGCGCCUCUCUAAGCAUUUAGAUUCAUUCUUGCAAAUGUUAUCUCUUGUGCAACUAAGGUGCUUUCCGUGAUAGUUCCUCGUGCAAAAAUAGACUAGAAUUUCUUAGUCAAUCUGAAGGCCAAGGCCCAACUACAUGGAGAUCACUUCUUCAGGUGGACGAGCAAGAUCUGGGGGCGGCGGCCUGGUGGGGGCAAGUCGUGUGGCGGCAGGGGGAGACUUAGUUCUUAACUUAUAAGAAGCCCGGGGAAAAGGGAAUAGAUCAAGUUUCUGCGGAUGUUCAGGACCUCUCUCCUAGUCACAUUCAACCUUUGGGUUCACUUUUGAAUAUCUUUUUGGAAGCUUGUCCCUCUAUUUUAAAGGACUAUGCCAUGGAGCCUGAUGAGAAACUUAUACUAAAUGCAGCACAUUUGAUGGUAGCAAGCUUGGCAGGAAGUCUUGCUAAUGUAACAUUUAAGGAAUCACAAACAGAGUUGACACCGAUGAAUGGAAUCCAUCCACUGAUACGCAUUUCCACAAUUGAUAACCGCUCUGGAAAUGUUGUGAUACACCCAAAAUUUUAAAUAUUAUUUCAGCAGUUGUGUUUGUCUACGACAGUUUGAUCAACUAUCACGGGACCAAAUUUUCUAUAGAUUGCAAACUUGAGUUUGCUCGUACUGCUUGCUCAUCUAAAAUCUGCUGCUGUACUACGCUAUAAGCAGAACUCGGUCCUUUUUUUGAGAUCGCUACUUCAGUGUUGAUCAAGUUUCAGAGAUGUCCACUGUUGUUCAACAGUGAGAUGUUAUAGCUCGUAGGAUUUUUCAGCUAGUACACUGAGCGCACACAUAUUUAGGGACUAACCCCGGAGUUGUCUAGGUUCUCACUUCCGGUAUAGGGGUGUGAUCUUGGCGCCACCCCUUACUUACUUUCUAAUCAAACAAUCCAAACCAUUUAUGGGAAAAUUGGUCAACUACUUUCUAUUAGCAGAAAGCACAAACACAGUGUAGUGCCACUUUUUAUUAUGCUAGCCUUUAUGUGCAAGGUCAAACGGGAGCCCUUUGUCCUAAGCCAGGGCACCUGUGACAUCCACAACAACAAGUUUAUGAGGCGAUUCUUUGACAAAUUCUAGGACAUCUAAGUUGAUUCACAUGAAACGAUCCACCCAGACCUUAAAUGCAUUUCCAGUUUGCCCCCCGGCUUCAUCAGAAGGUGGGUUUUCCAUGCAAUUUGCAUCUCUACUUAUGACCAACUGAGUGCUAGCAGUUACUCCUCUGGCCUUGUUAGCACUGGAAUUGGUGCUAUGCCCCAUACAUUGGAAAUUGGCUCUGACGAGAUAGAACUUGUUGGAUCCCAGAAUCCUACAAGUUCGCUCAUCUCAUAUUUCAAUUGGCGAUGAUGGUCCACGAACUCCUGUAAACGACAUCAUUCCUUCAUUCCCUCCUGCUUUGGCUAGCUAUUGAUGGAACCUUCCAGUUGUGCAAAAGAACCUGGAAAUGCUGCACAUCCUACUAAUGCAAUUCUGUCUUCCGGGCUUCCUGGGACAAACCUUGAUAUUAGAAUAAGUUGUUUUGAUGAUACAAUCUCAUUUUUAUAUGUUUAAACAUAUGUGUGCUUGCUUUAGAUUAUGAAGCACAAGUCCGAAUAGCAGCUGUCGAAAAGGUUACAAAUUGAUUCUUUUUCUAGUCCUUCACAUUGAGGUGUGGGUGUAUGCCUACAUUCUUCUUUUCUUUGUUUAUAAUUUAUCCUAUUUGUGUUUGCAUGCAAUGUUUUCUCUCUAUUGAUUGUCACCAGACACUUUUAAUGGGUUAUUAGUGUACUUUUGGUUUCUCUCAAGGGUUGGAGAACUAAGAUUCCCUAAUUUCAAACACCUAACUUUUUAAUAUUUUAAUAAUAUGUGAAAAUGAACAGGACAUGCUGUUGAACAAGACCAUGUACAUAUCUUAUAUUUUCUAUGGUGUCUUGAUAUAUUCUUUGUGGUGAACGUGGAGUCUGUUGAUGUUUUCACCGAUGAAUGGGAUUUACUUAUUAAAGCAAUAAUACUAGCAAAUAACUUAUUAAAAAUUUGGUAAAGACUUGUGUUAAUUUUGUCUAUUGUGUAUGUGUUUAUUUGGUUGUUGUUAGUUUUUUUAUUUUGUCCUUGUUGCAUUUUUUAACCUUGUUCACAUGCAGUCCAAACCAAUGAUUGGGAAAUAGAUCAACAACUUUCUAUUAGGGGAAAACAUAGAGAUAGUGUUGUGCCAUUUUUUUUAAUGCUAGCCUUUAUGUGCCAGGUCAAAUGUGACCUUUGUUGAGGUGAUACUUUACAAUUUUUAGAACAUCUAAGUUGAUUCACGUGGUCAGAUAUAUAUUAUCUAGUUCAUCUUUGUGAUCUUUAUUUGUGUCUCAUUUCAUUUGCAGGAAUCACAAACAGAGUUGACACCGAUGAAUGGAAUCCAUCCACUGAAACUCCCAAUUUUAAAUAUUAUUCCAGCAUUUGUGUUUGUCUAUGACAGUUAGAUCAGCUAUCGAGGGACCAAAUUUGCUUUAGAUUACAAACAUGAGUUUGCUCGUACUGCUCAUCGAAAUUCUGCUACUGUUCAUUCCAGGUUGAGUGUAAGGUUGCGUAGCAUGUAGAACUCAGUCCCAUGUAGAGAGCGCUACUUCAGUGUUGAUAAGCUCUAGAGAUGUCCCCUGAUCUUCAACAGUGAGGUGUUAUAGCUGUAACCACUACUCGUAGGAUUUUUAUGCUAGUACACUUUGAGCACAAACUUUUGCAGGAACUAACGUGGAGUUGUCCUGGUUCUCACUUCCAGUAUAGGGGUGUGAUCUUGGCACCACCCCUUACUUGCUUUCUACUCAAACAAGUAAGUAUUCUAUCCUCUUUACAUUUUCUUGUCCUUCACAUUGAGGGUAAUGUUUGGAAUAGUUUUGAGGUGUGGGUGUUUGCGUGCAUUCUUCUUUUUGUGGUUGUAAUUUAUCCUAUUUGUGUGUAUAUGUAAGGUUUUCUCUAUUAAUUGUCACCAGAAACACUUUUUAGUGGUUUAUUAGUGUAGACUUAGUUUCUCUCAAGGGUUGGAGAACUAAGAUUCCCUAAUUUUAAACAACUUAUUAAUAUUUUAAUAUGUGAAAAUGAAUUUGUGCUGCUGAACAAGACAUGCUGCUGAACAAUACCAAGUAUAUAUAUUUUCUAUGGUUGCUGGAAAUUUCCUCUGUGGGGAACGUGGAGUUUGUUGAUGUUUUUUUCCGUUGAAUGGGAUUUACUUUUUAAAGCAAUAAUACUAACAAAUAACUGAUAUAAAAACUUUGGUAAAGGCUUGUUAAUUUAGUCCAUUGAGUAUGGGUUUGGAAUUCAUAUUGUUUGUAUUUUGUCCUUGUUACCUUUUUUACCUUGUUUACAUGCAUUCCAAACCAGUGAUUGGGAAAUAGAUCAACAACUUUCUACUAGGAGGAAGCAUAGAAACAGUGUUGUGCCACUUUUUUUUUAUGCUAGCAUUUAUGUGCAAGGUCAAGUGAGCCUUUUGUGCUAAGCUAGGCCACCUGUCAUAUUAACAAAACAAGUUUACGAGGUGAUUCUCUGACAAAUUCUAGGACAUCUAAGUUGAUUCAGGCAAGAAUCGAUCCAUCCAGAGCUCAAAUGCAUUUCAAGUUUGCCCCUCCGCUUCAUCAGUUGGUGGAUUUUCCUGGAAAUUUGCAUCUCUACUUCUGACGGAAUAGCACUGGAAUUGGUGCUAUUCCCCACACACCCGAAAUUGGCUCUGACGAGAUGGAUCCUGUUGGAUCCCAGAUUCCUACAGGGUUUGUGUAGUUUAUGGUUUCUUUUGAUUUUUAUACCAUUUAUUAAUUAUUGGUUGUUUUUCUAUGACUAAACCCCGCGAGCAACAAAAACAAAAUUGAAUCAAAUUAGUAAAAUUAUGGUGAUCGUUUUUAGUUCCUUCAUCUCACAUUGCAAUUAGCGAUGGUCCACAAACUCUUGAAAAUGACAUAAUUCCUUCAUACCUUCUUGCUUUGCCCAGCUACUAAGGAACCUUCCAGUUACACAAAAGAACCUGGAAAUGCUACACAUCCACUAAUGCAGCUCUGUCUUCUGAGUAUCCCGGGACAAAUGUCUCUAAGCCAUUUAUAACCUUUGGUGAUGCAUUGCAUAUGUACCAUACUAUCUCAGAGAAGGAUAAUAUUUCCGAUGAUGACUAUAUAAUUUCGUAAGCUGGGCUCGGUCUAGAAGUGGGAAUGAUGUCAAUCCUACAUGGAGUUGAGGAGGAGCUAACUUCUAAAGGAGGCAAGAUGAGAGAAGAAAUACCUAACCCCCCAUUCACCUAACUUCCCAUGCAAAUAAGGGAGUAUUUUGUUUCCCAUCAGGCCAUCACAUAUUUUUUCCUUCACAUAAAGGGCAAUGUUAAGAUUAAGAUUUGGGGUCUAUGCCACGGAGCCUGAUGAGAAACUUAUACGAAAUGCAGCACAUUUGAUGGUAGCAAGGUUGGCAGGAAGUCUUGCUAAUGUAACUUGUUAGGCCUGUACAUCACAUUUAGGAACCUUUACGUGGUUCAGUAUCUAGCCAACUCAGAAGGUCACUUCAGGGCUUGGCCAUAGCAAAUGAUCUUCUAGAGCAGUCGUUUUAGCUGGUGACUAAUGGAAUCACAGGCGACGAUGACACCGAUGAAUGGAAACCAUCCACUGAUACAUAUCUUCCUCGAUUGAUAGCCGCUCUGGAAAUGUUGAGUGCAAGGCUGCGCUGCAAGCAGAACUCCGUCCUCUGUUGAGAGAGCUAUUUCAGUAUUGAUCAUGUUCCAGAGAUGUCCCCUUUUCUUCAACAAUGAGUUGUUAUAGCUCAGAAUCGAUCCACCCAGAGCUCAAAUGCAUUUCCAGUUCGCCCCUCGGCUUCAUCAGGAGCUGGAUUAUCCAGGCAAUUUGCAUCUCUACUUCUGACCAAAUGAGUGCUAGCAUUUACUCAUCUGGCCUUGUUAGCACUUGAAUUGCUGCUAUGCCCCAUACACCGAAAAUUGGCUCUGACGAGAUAGAACCUGUUGGAUCCCAGAAUCCUACAAGUUCGCUCAUCUCAUAUUUCAAUUGCUGAUGGUCCACAAACUCUUGUAAACGACAUCAUUCCUUCAUUCCCUCCUGCUUUGGCUAGCUACUGAUGGAACCUUCCAGUUGUGCAAAAGAACCUGGAAAUGCUGCACAUCCUACUAAUGCAAUUCUAUCCUCCGAGCAUCCUGAGACAAACCUUGAUAAUAGAAUGAGUUAUUUUGAUGAUACAAUCUCAUUUUUAUAUGUUUAAACAUAUGUGUGCCUGCUUUAGAUUAUGAAGCACAAGUCCGAAUAGCAGCUGCCGAGCAAGUUACAAAUUCAGUCGGAUUCUUAAUCUAGAAUUUGCUGUCCAACAUAUUAGGAGUUAAGGAGUUAAUAAUAUUGAAAAUGAAUAUGUGCCGCUGAACAAGACCAAGUACAUUUCUUAUAUUCUCUAUGGAGUUAUGGAGGAUAAGGAGUGUUCUAUCUCGCCUCACAUUUUAUUAUCCAUCACAUAAAGGGAAAUGUUUAGAUUCAUUUUUGGGGUGUACAUGUUUGUAUGUACUAUGUGCACCGUGUAUUUUGUGUAUAGUGUGAGUGUAGUCUAGUGUAGUGUAGUGUGUGCAUUAUGUGUGUUUUGUGA